UGACAUGGAGGGUAAUACAGACGGUGACACAGAGGGUGACAUGGGGGUGACAUGGGCAGUGACACAGAGGGUGACAUUGGGGUGACAUGGGCAGUGACACAGAGGGUGACAUGGGGGUGACACAGGUCGUAACAUGGGGUGACACGGGGGGUGGCACGGGGAUGACAGAGGGUGACGCAGAGGGUGACACGGGUGUGACGCAGAGGGUGACACGGGGCUGACAGAGGUGUCCCCGUCCCCGUCCCCGUCCCCGCGCCGCAGAAACGCCGCGAGCGGGAGAUGCAGCAGCAGAUGCUGCUGAGGGACGAGGAGACCAUGGAGCUGCGGGAGACCUACACGUCCCUGCAGCAGGAGGUGGAGAUCAAAACCAAGAAGCUGAAGAAGCUCUAUGCCAAGCUGCAGGCUGUCAAGGCUGAGAUCCAGGACCAGCACGACGAGUACAUCCGCGUGCGCCAGGACCUGGAGGAGGCCCAGAACGAGCAGACCCGCGAGCUGAAGCUCAAGUACUUGAUCAUCGAGAACUUCAUCCCUCCCGAGGAGAAGAACAAGAUCAUGAACCGCCUGUACUUCGACAGCGACGAGGACCAGUGGAAAUUCCAGCCACUGGUUCCCACUGGAGGGUACGGCCUGUGUCCCUGUCCUUGUCCCCAGGGCACAGUCCCUGUCCCUGUGUCCUUGUCCCCAUGUCCCUGUCCCUGUCCCUGUCCAUGAGCAUGAAUGGCCCCACGACAGGGGGGACCAGGGACUCUGGGAGGUGCCCAUGGAUGGGAAUCCCCUCCAAGCCCAGCCCCAUGGGAAGGGCUGCCCUUCCCUGGCUGGUGCAGCUUCCCUGGUCCCCUCUGUCCUUUGGGUCCCCUCAGCUCCC
rnacentral:lncRNA from 12 species